rnacentral:rRNA from 1 species
AAACAUAGCCAUAUGAAGAUAUUUAUGGUUCAACCUGCCCAAUGUGAGAGAAUCUAUGAAUGGCCGCGGUACCCUGACCGUGCUAAAGGUAGCGUAAUCAGUUGGCUUUUAAAUGGAGUCAGGUAUGAAUGGGAUAACUGGGCUUAGCUGUCUCAGGAAUAUUUAAUUGAAUUUACUGUUCAAGUGAAAAAGCUUGAAUUAAGAAAAGGGACGAGAAGACCCUUAGAAUUUUGUUUAAAGUGAGACUAUUCUUACUAUAAUUUUGUUGGGGCGACAUAGAAAUAAUUAUAACUUUCUUUAAAUAAUCAGUCGGAAUUUUCAGGAUAGGAUAAAUUACCUGAGGGAUAACAGCAUAAUUCUAUAAUUGAGUUUGUGACCUCGAUGUUGGACUAGGAAGCUAACAGGUUAGCUGCUUGUUGUGCGGAUUCUGUUCGAAUUUUAACUCCUACGUGAUCUGAGUUCAGACCGG